rnacentral:rRNA from 1 species
UACAGAGGAGCCAAGCGUUGUCCGGAUUGACUGGGCGUAAAGCGCACGCAGGCGGACGCGCGCGUGGGGUGUGAAAUCUGGCCGCUUAACGGCCAGGCGCCAUCCCAUACGGCGCGUCUGGAGCAAUGCAGAGGUCGGUGGAAUUGCCGGUGUAGUGGUGAAAUGCGUAGAGAUCGGCAGGAACACCCAGGGGGGAAACCAGCCGACUGGGCAUUUGCUGACGCUGAG